AGAGUUUGAUCCUGGCUCAGAGCGAACGCUGGCGGCGUGCUUAACACAUGCAAGUCGAGUGCGCGGUAGCAAUACUGGCGCACGGCGCACGGGUGCGUAACACGUGGGCAACCUGCCCUCCAAAGGGGGAUAACCCGCCGAAAGGCGGGCUAAUACCGCAUGAUAUUCCGGUGGCUUCGGCUGCUGGAUUCAAAGGCCGCAAGGCCGUUGGAGGAGGGGCCCGCGCCCGAUUAGCUUGUUGGCGAGGUAACGGCUCACCAAGGCUAUGAUCGGUAGCUGGUCUGAGAGGAUGAUCAGCCACACUGGAACUGAGACACGGUCCAGACUCCUACGGGAGGCAGCAGUGGGGAAUCUUGCGCAAUGGGCGAAAGCCUGACGCAGCGACGCCGCGUGGGGGAUGAAGCUUCUCGGAGUGUAAACCCCUUUCGACCCGGACGAAACGCCCGCAAGGGCUUGACGGUACGGGUAUAAGAAGCCCCGGCUAACUACGUGCCAGCAGCCGCGGUAAGACGUAGGGGGCCAGCGUUGCUCGGAAUUACUGGGCGUAAAGGGUUCGUAGGCGGUGCGGCAAGUCGGGAGUGAAAUCUCUGGGCUUAACUCGGAGGCUGCUUCCGAAACUGCCGUGCUCGAGUGCGGGAGAGGCCAGUGGAAUUGCAGGUGUAGCGGUGAAAUGCGUAGAUAUCUGCAGGAACACCCGUGGCGAAGGCGGCUGGCUGGACCGCAACUGACGCUGAGGAACGAAAGCUAGGGGAGCAAACAGGAUUAGAUACCCUGGUAGUCCUAGCCCUAAACCAUCAGGACUUGGGGUGCAUCCCGUUGGGGGUGCGUCCCGUAGCUAACGCGUUAAGUCCUGCGCCUGGGGAGUACGGUCGCAAGGCUGAACUCAAAGGAAUUGACGGGGGCCCGCACAAGCGGUGGAACAUGUGGUUCAAUUCGACGCAACGCGAAGAACCUUACCUGGCUCGAAGUGCUACUGACCAGCGGUGGAAACAUCGCCUUCUCGCAAGAGACAGU
rnacentral:rRNA from 1 species